UCCUCUGUAGUUCAGUCGGUAGAACGGCGGACUGUUAAUCCGUAUGUCACUGGUUCGAGUCCAGUCAGAGGAG
rnacentral:ncRNA from 10 species